GACGAACGCUGGCGGCGUGCUUUACACAUGCAAGUCGAACGGAAAGGCCCUGCUUUUGUGUGGUGCUCGAGUGGCGAACGGGUGAUUAACACGUGAGUAACCUGCGGUGGGCUUUGGGAUAACUUCAGGUAACUGGGGAUAAUACCGGAUAGGAGGUCCUGCUGCGGGGUGGGGGUUGGAAAGUUUCGGCGGGUGGGGAUGGACCCGCGGCUUAUCAGCUUGUUGGUGGGGUAGUGGCUUACCAAGGCUUUGACGGGUAGCCGGCCUGAGAGGGUGACCGGCGACAUUGCGACUGAGAUACGGCCCAGACUCCUACGGGAGGCAGCAGUGGGGAAUAUUGCACAAUGGGCGGAAGCCUGAUGCAGCAACGCCGCGUGCGGGAUGACGGCCUUCGGGUUGUAAACCGCUUUCGCCUGUGACGAAGCGUGAGUGACGGUAAUGGGUAAAGAAGCACCGGCUAACUACGUG
rnacentral:rRNA from 1 species